rnacentral:rRNA from 1 species
UACGUAGGUGGCAAGCGUUGUCCGGAAUUAUUGGGCGUAAAGCGCGCGCAGGCGGCCUCUUAAGUCUGAUGUGAAAGCCCCCGGCUCAACGGGGGAGGGCCAUUGGAAACUGGGAGGCUUGAGUAUAGGAGAGAAGAGUGGAAUUCCACGUGUAGCGGUGAAAUGCGUAGAGAUGUGGAGGAACACCAGUGGCGAAGGCGACUCUUUGGCCUAUAACUGACGCUGAGGCGCGAAAGCGUGGGGAGCAAACAGG